rnacentral:rRNA from 1 species
UACAGAGGCCUCGAGCGUUAGGCGGAAUCACUGGGCUUAAAGCGCGUGUAGGCGGAUCGUUAAGUGUCUUGUGAAAUCCCACGGCUCAACCGUGGAACUGCUGGGCAUACUGGCGAUCUUGGGCCACUCAGGGGCGACCGGAACAAGCGGUGGAGCGGUGAAAUGCGUAGAUAUCGCUUGGAACGCCAAAAGGGUGAAGACAGGUCGCUGGGGGUGUGCCGA